rnacentral:rRNA from 1 species
UACAGAGGGUGCAAGCGUUAAUCGGAAUUACUGGGCGUAAAGGGCGCGUAGGCGGUAAAUUAAGUUGGAGGUGAAAGCCCUGGGCUCAACCUGGGAAUGGCAUUGGAAACUGGCGACCUAGAGUGCGGUAGAGGGUAGUGGAAUUCCCGGUGUAGCGGUGGAAUGCGUAGAGAUCCGGAAGAACACCAGUGGCGAAGGCGGCCUGCUGGGCAGUAGCUGACACUGAGGCGCGACAGCGUGGGGAGCAAACAGG